rnacentral:rRNA from 1 species
GACAGAGGGUGCAAACGUUGUUCGGAAUUACUGGGCGUAAAGCGCGUGUAGGCGGUCUUAUAAGUCGGGUGUGAAAGCCCCGGGCUCAACCCGGGAAGUGCACUCGAAACUGCGAGGCUAGAGUAUCGGAGAGGUUGGUGGAAUUCUCGGUGUAGAGGUGAAAUUCGUAGAUAUCGAGAGGAACACCGGUGGCGAAGGCGGCCAACUGGACGAAUACUGACGCUGAGACUCGAAAGCGUGGGGAGCAAACAGG